rnacentral:tRNA from 7 species
GCGGGGAUGCCCGAGCCUGGUCAAAGGGAGCAGACUCAAGAUCUGCCGGCGAAGGCCUGCGUGGGUUCGAAUCCCACUCCCCGCA